AGUCUGGUGCCAGCAGCCGCGGUAAUUCCAGCUCCAAUAGCGUACUUUAAAGUUGCUGCAGUUAAAAAGCUCGUAGUUGAAUUUCUGACUUAACAUGCUUAGCCCUACCGGGUUACCGGUGGAGUGCUGAGUCGUGUUGGCCAUCUUUGCAGAAAAUGUUGUUGCGCUUCAUUGCGUUGACAACACUAUCUGUAUCUUUUACUUUGAAAAAAAUUAGAGUGUUUAAAGCAAGCUUUUGCUAUGAAUACAUUAGCAUGGAAUAAUAAUUUAGGACUUCGGUUCUAUUUUGUUGGUUUUCAGAACUGAAGUAAUGAUUGAUAGGGACAGUUGGGGAUGCUGAAAUUCAGUGGCCAGAGGUGAAAUUCUUGGAUUCACUGAAGUUCAACUCAUGCGAAAGCAUUCAUCAAGGAUGUCUUCUUUAAUCAAGAACGAAAGUUGGGGGAUCGAAGACGAUCACAUACCGUCGUAGUCUCAACUAUAAACUAUGCCGACUCGGGAUUGGUGAACGUUGCAUUUUCGACUUCAUCAGCACCGUAUGAGAAAUCAAAGUCUUUGGGUUCCGGGGGGAGUAUGGUUGCAAGGCUGAAACUUAAAGGAAUUGACGGAAGGGCACCACCAGGAGUGGAGCCUGCGGCUUAAUUUGACCCAACACGGGAAAACUUACCAGGUCCAGACAUAGUGAGGAUUGACAGAUUGAAGAUCUUUCUUGAUUCUAUGGGUGGUGGUGCAUGGCCGUUCUUAGUUGGUGGAGCGAUUUGUCUGGUUAAUUCCGUUAACGAACGAGACCCGGACCUGCUAAAUAGUUCGGCGAAGGCGUCAGCCUUCGUACGUGGCUUCUUAGAGGGACGUUCGGUGUUUUAGCCGAAGGAAGUUCCGGGUAAUAACAGGUCUGUGAUGCCCUUAGAUGUUCUGGGCUGCACGCGCGCUACACUGAUGGUUGCAUCGAGCUUACAACCUUGAUCGGAAGGUCUGGGUAAUCUUUUUAACAACCAUCGUGCUGGGAUAGAUUAUUGUAAUUAUUAAUCUUCAACGAGGAAUUCCCAGUAAACGCAAGUCAACAACUUGCAUUGAUUACGUCCCUGCCCUUUGUACACACCGCCCGUCGCUACUACCGAUUGAAUGGAUUAAUGAGCUGCAGGGAUUAACGCGUUUGUGGGCAACUGCAUGCGCGUCGAGAACUGCAACAAAUUUG
rnacentral:rRNA from 1 species